rnacentral:SRP_RNA from 1 species
UACUUAUAGGGCAAUGUUUCACUUCUGAAUUGUGUCAGGACCGGAAGGUAGCAGCACUAAGGUCGUUGGGGCAUGUGCCUUUUAUUGAAAUUU